rnacentral:rRNA from 1 species
CCUACGGGUGGCUGCAGUGGGAAAUAUUGCACAAUGGGGGAAACCCUGAUGCAGCGACGCCGCGUGAAGGAAGAAGGAUUUCGGUAUGUAAACUUCUAUCAGCAGGGAAGAAAAUGACGGUACCUGACUAAGAAGCCCCGGCGAACGACGGGCCAGCAGCCGCGGUAAGACGGAGGGGGCAAGCGUUAUCCGGCUUUACUGGGUGUAAAGGGAGCGUAGGAGGCGAUGCAAGUCAGAAGUGAAAGCCCGGGGCUCAACUCCGGGACUGCUUUUGAAACUGUAUGGCUAGAUUGCAGGAGAGGCAAGUGGAAUUCCUAGUGUAGCGGUGACAUGUGUAGCUAUUAGGAGGAACACCAGUGGCGAAGGCGGCUUGCUGGACUGUACCUGACGCUGAGGCUC